rnacentral:rRNA from 1 species
CUGGCGCGUGCCUACACAUGCAAGUCGAACGAGAACGGAACUAGCCUUGCUAGUUGUCAGCUAAGUGGCGCACGGGUGAGUAAUAUAUAGUUAAUCUGCCCCAAAGAAGAGAAUAAUUGUUGGAAACGACUUGUAAUGCUCUAUAUGCCUUUAUUACAUAAGUAAGCAAGGGAAACAUUUAUGGCUUUGGGAUGAGACUGUACGGUAUCAGCUAGUUGGUGAGGUAAUGGCUCACCAAGGCUAUGACAUCUAACUGGUUUGAGAGGAUGAUCAGUCACACUGGAACUGAGACACGGUCCAGACUCCUACGGGAGGCAGCAGUGGGGAAUAUUGCACAAUGGAGGAAACUCUGAUGCAGCAACGCCGCGUGGAGGAUGACACAUUUCGGUGCGUAAACUCCUUUUAUAUGAGAAGAUAAUGACGGUAUCAUAUGAAUAAGCACCGGCUAACUCCGUGCCAGCAGCCGCGGUAAUACGGGGGGUGCAAGCGUUACUCGGAAUCACUGGGCGUAAAGAGAAUGUAGGCUGGUUAUUAAGCUGGAAGUGAAAUCCUAUGGCUCAACCAUAGAACUGCUUCCAAAACUGAUUACCUAGAAUAUGGGAGAGGUAGAUGGAAUUUCUGGUGUAGGGGUAAAAUCCGUAN